UCUCAGUUCGGAUUGGAGUCUGCAACCCGACUCCAUGAAGCUGGAUUCGCUAGUAAUCGCGCAUCAGCCACGGCGCGGUGAAUACGUUCCCGGGCCUUGUACACACCGCCCGUCAAGCCACGGAAGCCGGGGGUGCCUGAAGUGCGCUGCCGCAAGGAGCGUCCUAGGGUAAAACCGGUGACUGGGGCUAAGUCGUAACAAGGUACC
rnacentral:rRNA from 1 species